rnacentral:rRNA from 1 species
AUGGUCGCUCUCCUUCGUGAUGUUGGAGACACCAUCACAGCUACCAAUGAGCCCAACUUUUCCUUUGAAGCACCUAUCAUGGAUGAAUGUCACGGAAAAGAGAAUGAUGUUAAAGCUGCAAAUGCUGGCAUUGGUGCUCAAGCUCAAGCUGAAGGUACAACACCUAGCAUGAACAAGGAUGAAGUCACUGGAUUGAACCUACAAGUUGCAACACAGACUGCUGAAACUCGUGAUCAACAAAGAGUGAGUUUUGAGAUGGAAGGCAACGUCUCAUCUCACAGCCCCCACUCUUCUAUGAUGCACAUAGGAGUGCGACAGCCAGCAUUUGGGAGGACUAGCCAUCAUGCGAGUUGUUCUUAA